rnacentral:rRNA from 1 species
CCUACGGGAGGCUGCAGUGGGGAAUAUUGGACAAUGGGCGAAAGCCUGAUCCAGCCAUGCCGCGUGUGUGAAGAAGGCCUUCGGGUUGUAAAGCACUUUCAGUGGGGAAGAAAGCCUUGGGGCUAAUACCCUCGAGGAAGGACAUCACCCACAGAAGAAGCACCGGCUAACUCCGUGCCAGCAGCCGCGGUAAUACGGAGGGUGCGAGCGUUAAUCGGAAUUACUGGGCGUAAAGCGCGCGUAGGCGGUCUGAUAAGCCGGUUGUGAAAGCCCCGGGCUCAACCUGGGAACGGCAUCCGGAACUGUCAGGCUAGAGUGCAGGAGAGGAAGGUAGAAUUCCCGGUGUAGCGGUGAAAUGCGUAGAGAUCGGGAGGAAUACCAGUGGCGAAGGCGGCCUUCUGGACUGACACUGACGCUGAGGUGCGAAAGCGUGGGUAGCAAACAGGAUAGAUACCCCAGUAGUC